rnacentral:rRNA from 1 species
CCUACGGGUGGCAGCAGUGAGGAAUAUUGGUCAAUGGGCGCGAGCCUGAACCAGCCAAGUCGCGUGAGGGAAGACGGUCCUAUGGAUUGUAAACCUCUUUUGUCGGGGAGCAAAAGACGCCACGCGUGGCGUUCCGAGAGUACCCGAAGAAGAAGCAUCGGCUAACUCCGUGCCAGCAGCCGCGUUAAUACGGAGGAUGCGAGCGUUAUCCGGAUUUAUUGGGUUUAAAGGUUGCGCAGGCGGAAGAUCAAGUCAGCGGUAAAAUUGAGGGGCUCAACCUCGUCGAGCCGUUGAAACUGGUUGUCUUGAGUGAGUGAGAAGUAUGCGGAAUGCGUGGUGUAGCGGUGAAAUGCAUAGAUAUCACGCAGAACUCCGAUUGCGAAGGCAGCAUACCGGCGCUCAACUGACGCUCAUGCACGAAAGUGUGGGUAUCGAACAGGAUUAGAUACCCGUGUAGUC